UCUCCCUCAUUCUCUCCUCACACGCCUCUCUCCUCCCUCUCUUCAUUCUCUCCAAAAAUCCUCCAUUCAUCCUUGUUCUUGCAUCAAUUGGAGUUGAAACUUCAAGGUUCACCAAAGAAUCGCAUCAAUCUUUGUUUCUACCGUUCGUUUUGAUCAAGAAAGGGUUGUCGUGCAUACGUGAGCACAAGGAGCGAGAGUUACAUUGAAUUGUGUUUUGUGAUAUCUAAGCAAGCGAGAAUGCCACCGAGACGAGGACGUGGACGUGGACGUGGGGCAGGCCGAGGCCCACGAGUGGAAAGUACUGUGGAAGAAAGAUCCGAGGGAAGUAUCGGAGGUCAACCCCCGCCUCCACCGCCACCUCCACUACAACCUCAAGAUAAGGAAUACAUUAAGACGUUCCGCAAAGAGACCCCCCAAAGUUUGAUGGGUUAGGAGAGCCACAGAAGGCAGAGGCCUGGAUCCCCGAGAUCGAGCGCAUCUUUGAGUUCAUGGUGUGCACGGACAGGGAGCGUCUGGCAUGCGUGACUUAUCAACUGACUGGGCCAGCAGAUCAUUGGUGGGAGACUAGACGAAGAACAGUGGACCCCGCCUGCCGAGAGGCUUUGACUUGGGAUGAGUUCAAGGAAGAGAUAUAUAAUAAGUACGUCCCUAUGAGCUACCGACGAGCCAAGACGGCAGAGUUCCACACUUUGAAGCAGGGAAAUAUGACAGUGUCGGAAUAUGACCGCGCACUUUGCGAGAUGACUCGUUAUGCACCUGAGUUGGUGGACACGGAUGAGAAGAUGGCCGCGAACUUUCACUCUGGCCUUAGGACUGAGAUAAGAGUGGUUGUGGCUAGCUGACAAGGAGUUCCUUACGCCGAGCUUUUGAGUUGCACCUUGGACGUAGAAGAGGCACUUCCUAAGAAUGAGAGAGUGACAAAUCCUACACCACCCACACAACAACAAAAUUAUCGAGACAAGAGGAAGUGGGAAGGAAACCGAGCCCAGUAUGACAACAAGAGACACCAUCCUACUUUCCGCCACCCUCAGAAUUUUAGCCGACAGGUUGUGCCACAACAAAGAGGAAAUCAACCAAGGACACCUUACUGCAAUUGGUGCUCCAAGUUCCACGUUGGGGAGUGUAGAGUCGGAGGCACCCGAUGCUUUGCUUGUGAUGGGAAUGGCCACAUGUUCCGAGAGUGCCCGAACAACAACAAGGGUGGAACGAGGAACGGGCAGGGACAGAGACCACCGCAACAACCACAACCGAUCCGGCAAGUCGCCCCACAACCAGCAAGGGCAUAUGCACUGAAAGGGAAUCCAAGACAGGAGCAACAGGCCAAUAAGGGCAAAGAUAACUU